UAAGAUGAAAUCACACUUCUGCACAUCACUAACAGGAUGCCAGCCAUUGCCUUUUGUAGUUACUACAGACUUUAAAACAUUAGGAACAGAAUGAUGUGUCUGUUUUGAUUUUUCUUCGCUUUCCAAUUUAAAUUCAUUAUUAUGUGAAUGUUGAAAGUUCUAAAGAAAAGUUAUAAUAAUAUACAUGCAUGUUCACCUAACAUGUUUGUAAUCAGACUCUUUUGAAAAAUAUUAUAGAUUUUUGAACAUAUAUUUUAACUGGAGAAUUCUACGAUCUGGGAAAUAUGGAAAGGAAAUCAAUUCAUGUGUUGUUUUAGAAGUGCAAAACAACAGGAAAGGAAGUCAAAUAUUGAAGAAGAUCUUAAACAAGAUGACUAAUCAACUCAAAAAUGCAGUUUCUGAGGCUAAUGAGGAGGGGGAUAACAGCAGGGAAAAUCUGAUAGCAUGGAAAGAGUUAAUAAAAGAAGGAAGAGAGAAGUGAUUUGAAAAAAAAUCCAUAGAAAGCAAAGUUUUUUACUGUGGAGAAGAAAGGGUUAAUUUGGAGGAAUCAUAAAGGGGGAGAAGUCUGACAAAGGGGAGGCAGUCUACCCAGGAGGAAAACAGACAAAAAAAGGAGCAUUUAAGACUAAUGAAAUAAUUUCUGUGUCUCAGAGGGGUUGUUUUUUUAAAAGAAAUUGGGUGGUGUUUGGUGUUAAAAGUUGAUUAUCGGAAAGAAGUUUCAUUUUAAAUUUAAAUAGUUUAAGUGUUUAGUUGGUUUGAUUUGACUCUGGAUUAGCAUGCAUGGUUUUGGUAUGGAUGUCUAAUUUAUGAUUUGUUAAAAAGAAAUUAAUAUAGAAGGAUGAUGAUAUUAAAUGCAGAUAGGAUUUUAAAAUUGGGAUCAAUUUGUGGGGUAAAUAGAGAAAUCUAAGUUUGUCACUAUUUACAAUUAGAAAAUGGUUAGUGGCUAGGUUGUGAUGCCAGAAUUAUGUGGAAGAAGAAGACUGGCUAAAAUAAAUUAAUGUACAAGGAUGAAUUAAGAUGAUGGUAAAUGAAAAGCAUGGAUUUUAAAAUUAGGUUAUUAUAUUUGUAAGGAAUUAAAAUGCUUAGAUGGUAGGUGCAUCAAUGUUGUAAUUCUUAGAUUUAAAUGGACAAAUACAGUUAUCCUAUCAUAAGAGGAUUGGUUAACACAGUAGGCAGAUUUAUAAUAUUAAUUGUGGGUUUUGAUAAUUAGUGUGGGGGGGGGUAAAUAAAUGAUAUAAAUAAAUGAUAGAAGUAUGUAUCAUAGUCAUGUAAGUGAACUUCAUAUCAUGUUUUACCAUUAUAAAAAUGUUGAAAGUGAAUUUUACUCUUCUCGCUUUUCUUUUUCUUUCCCUUUCUUAUCUGUGCUAUGUUAUAUUUCUAGAAUUUUAUUUUCAAUUUAUUUUUUCUCUAUUUUUAUGUAUAUUAUGAUGCUGUAAAAUUCCAGUAAUUGUUUGCCAUCGGAGAGAUGAGACCAUUAGUCAGCCACUUCUUAAAUCUCCUCCAUUGAUAAAGGGAUGGCUUUUUGGUUUUUGGGAUUCCAGGGGUCUGUCUGGAAUCCACUAUAUUGUUACAUAGUAUGUAAUGGUCUUACAAGAUUCCACUUAUCAUUUGCAGUUUGAAAUUGGAAUGUGUUGUUACUAAAAAAAAGUGUUUUCAGCCAAAAAAAACGUGUUUUUUAAAUAACAAAAGCUACCUGUAUACUAUAAAAUAUGCAAAUUAUACUCAGAAUAUAUCCCACACUACAAAGGUUCUGCUUAAUGCAUGAUUCCCUUUACCGGGAUUUCCUAACACACAAGAAAGAUGUUUGUGAUUGUUUUGGAAACUUUCAAAUAGUUUUUCCAUCUUUACACUUCAUCCAGAUACUGCUAUUUGAAUAUGAUGUCCAAUAUUCAAAAGAUAGAGGAUAAGCGGUUAUGGUCUUGUUCUCCCACCACAUGUGGACUUCUCCUUCUUAUAUAUAAAAAUAUUGGCUGGUUUAACUAUGGGCCAGGGAAAGAAAUGUGGCCACUGGAGCACACACAAACUGGAGGUGCUUUAUCGGAAUUAAAGAAGCAGAUAGUUUGCAUAAAAAUAUCAUAGGACCUUGAAACCAUUACCGCUCCUAUUGAAUCUGUGAUGUCUCAGGCACCUUUGCCCCCUGACCCCUCAGCCAUUGCUGAUCAAACUGAAGAGGACUUGGGGUUUUUCCUAAGUGAGCAAGAUUCAAUUCCUUUCCACAUGCCUUCUGUUGACAUUUCUGUGCCAGAGCCAAUUAAGGAUGCCCUUGAGACGGUGCCGGUGUUCCCCGGAUCUCCGGAGGGUUUACGUUUUGAUAGAAGGGCUUUCUUCAAAACAGAUCGCUCCCAAAGGCAAAGUUUAAGAUGAAGUGUCAGAUUAGCAGAGCGAGGCGAUUGUGGCUAAACCCAGUUCUCUUGGGAAGAAUUAGGGAGUCAGGCACCUGGCGUGAUUUUGGCAGCUCAGUUCUCUUGGGAAGUUUUGGGGAGUCAAACACCUGCUUGGGGGAGCUAUGAACUUCGUUAAAAGUCUUGCGCGGAGAAUCUUCUGUGCGGUGUCAACUUAACUUCGGAUUGAAGAGUUCAUCGUCUCUCGCUCCUGAAUUCCAAGCGGCCUGCCGGCACGCUUACCUUUGAGUAGACCGGGCGUCGAAUCUCAUCCCUUGCCAAGUUUGGACUGCAUUUCAGAUCCAUCACGAACAGCCAUAGCCUUGUCUUGAAACCUUGUUCUGGACUUUUACUUCAAGUACUUUCCUGAGGAACUUUGCUCCUUACCCCACUCAAACUUCCAUUAAGUUUGGGUGUGUUUGGGUUAUUGGACUUUGGACUUUAAUACUGGACAUAAGACUUUCAUUUAUUGGACUAAUUUUGAUCUUUCCUGAAAGGUCAACUGCUUGACUAUCUAUUCUGCUUAUUUUUGUUUGAAACUUUAAUUGCUUUAAUAAAGAUAUUAGAUUGUU